rnacentral:rRNA from 1 species
AGUGAACGCUGGCGGUAGGCCUAACACAUGCAAGUCGAACGGCAGCACAGUAAGAGCUUGCUCUUACGGGUGGCGAGUGGCGGACGGGUGAGGAAUACAUCGGAAUCUACUUUUUCGUGGGGGAUAACGUAGGGAAACUUACGCUAAUACCGCAUACGACCUACGGGUGAAAGCAGGGGAUCUUCGGACCUUGCGCGAUAGAAUGAGCCGAUGUCGGCUUAGCUAGUUGGCGGGGUAAAGGCCCACCAAGGCGACGAUCCGUAGCUGGUCUGAGAGGAUGAUCAGCCACACUGGAACUGAGACACGGUACAGACUCCGACGGGAGGCAGCAGUGGGGAAUAUUGGACAAUGGGCGCAAGCCUGAUCCAGCCAUACCGCGUGGGUGAAGAAGGCCUUCGGGUUGGAAAGCCCUGUUGUUGGGAAAGAAAAGCAGCAGGUUAAUACCCCGCUGUUCUGACGGUACCCAAAGAAUAAGCACCGGCUAACUUCGUG